rnacentral:tRNA from 2 species
GGGCCUGUAGCUCAGCCGGUUAGAGCAGAGGACUCAUAAUCCUUUGGUCCCUGGUUCGAAUCCAGGCGGGCCCACCA